rnacentral:rRNA from 1 species
CCUACGGGUGGCAGCAGUGGGGAAUAUUGGGCAAUGGGCGCAAGCCUGAUCCAGCAACGCCGCGUGAAGGAAGAAGGCUUUCGGGUUGUAAAGUUCUUUUGUCAGGGAAGAGUAGAAGACGGUACCUGACGAAUAAGCCACGGCUAACUACGUGCCAGCAGCCGCGGUAAUACGUAGGUGGCAAGCGUUGUCCGGAUUUACUGGGUGUAAAGGGCGUGUAGCCGGGUUGACAAGUCAGAUGUGAAAUCCCGGGGCUUAACCGGAGAACUGCAUUUGAAACUGUUGAGCUUGAGUACUGGAGAGGGAGAUGGAAGUCCUAGUGUAGCGGUGAAAUGCGUAGAUAUUAGGAGGAACACCGGUGGCGAAGGCGGUCUCCUGGACGGCAACUGACGGUGAGGCGCGAAAGCGUGGGGAGCAAACAGGAUUAGAUACCCCAGUAGUC